GGGCACCACCAGGAGUGGAGCCUGCCGCUUAAUUUGACUCAACACGGAAAAACUCACCCGGCCAGGACAUUAGGAGGAUUGACAGACUGACUAUUUCUUUCUUAAUUCGGGGGGGGGUGGUGCCUGGCCGUACUUAGUGGGGGGAGCGAUUUGUCUGGUUAAUUCCAAUAACCAACGAGCCUCUUGCCUACUAAUCAACCAGCCCCCAGUCGAUGCCCCCGCCCAACAAGCUUCUUAAAGGGAGUGCCGCGAGCGAGGAUUGGAGAUUGAGAAUAACGGGCUCUGUGAUGCCCUUAGAUGUCCGGGGCCUGACGCUACGCUACACUGAAGUGAUCAUGCCGCUCAUCCGCCCCGCUCCGAGAGGAGCGUGGUGACCGUUUGAACCCCCUUCAUGAUAGGGAUUGAGCUUUGUAACUAUUGCUCAAGAACGAGGAAUUCCCAGUACGCGUGAGUCAUUACCUUACGUCUAUUACGUCCCUGCCCUUUGUACACACCGCCCGUCGCUACUACCGAUUGAAU
rnacentral:rRNA from 1 species